GGGCGCGUAACUCAGACGGAUAGAGUAGCGGACUUCUAAUCCGCUUGUCGCAGGUUCGAGUCCUGCCGCGCCCG
rnacentral:tRNA from 1 species